CAAAGGCUUGGUCCUGACUUUACUGUCAACUUUGACUAAACUUACACAUGCAAGUCUCCGCAUCCCCGUGAGAAUGCCCACAGUUCUCCGCCCGAGAACAAGGAGCUGGUAUCAGGCACAUAUUAAACAUAUAGCCCACAACACCUUGCUUAGCCACACCCUCAAGGGAAUUCAGCAGUGAUAAACAUUAAGCCAUGAGUGAAAACUUGACUUAGUCAAAGUCAAAUAGGGCCGGUAAAACUCGUGCCAGCCACCGCGGUUAUACGAGAGGCCCAAGUUGACAGACACCGGCGUAAAGAGUGGUUAAGGAGUCCUUAAUACUAAAGCCGAACACCCUCAGAACUGUCAUACGUUUCCGAGAGAGGGAAGCCCCACUACGAAAGUGGCUUUAUUACACCUGACCCCACGAAAGCUGUGAAACAAACUGGGAUUAGAGACCCCACUAUGCCCAGCCCUAAACCUUGAUGGUAGUAUACACCCUCCAUCCGCCAGGGGACUACGAGCAUUAGCUUAAAACCCAAAGGACUUGGCGGUGCUUUAGAUCCCCCUAGAGGAGCCUGUUCUAGAACCGAUAACCCCCGUUUAACCUCACCCUCCCUUGUUAUUUCCGCCUAUAUACCGCCGUCGUCAGCUUACCCUGUGAAGGCAUAAUAGUAAGCUAAAUUAGUAAAACCCAAAACGCCAGGUCGAGGUGUAGCAUAUGAGAGGGGAAGAAAUGGGCUACAUUCCCUGCCCCAGGGAAAACGAACAGUAUAAUGAAAUUUAUACUAGAAGGAGGAUUUAGUAGUAAGUAGAAAAUAGAGUGUUCCACUGAAACUGGCCCUGAAGCGCGCACACACCGCCCGUCACUCUCCCCGAACCGACAAACACUAGAUUCAUGAUACAUCUAUUAGGUAAAGGGGAGGCAAGUCGUAACAUGGUAAGUGUACCGGAAGGUGCACUUGGAAAAAC
rnacentral:ncRNA from 1 species